rnacentral:rRNA from 1 species
UACGAAGGGGGCUAGCGUUGUUCGGAAUCACUGGGCGUAAAGCGCACGUAGGCGGAUCCUUAAGUCAGGGGUGAAAUCCCGAGGCUCAACCUCGGAACUGCCUUUGAUACUGAGGAUCUCGAGUCCGGGAGAGGUGAGUGGAACUGCGAGUGUAGAGGUGAAAUUCGUAGAUAUUCGCAAGAACACCAGUGGCGAAGGCGGCUCACUGGCCCGGUACUGACGCUGAGGUGCGAAAGCGUGGGGAGCAAACAGG